GACAAAGUCCCAGCAGUAGCGGUCAUACUAUUGAAGAGCCGAGUGUUAUCCAUCC
rnacentral:rRNA from 1 species